rnacentral:rRNA from 1 species
UACGUAGGGUGCAAGCGUUAAUCGGAAUUACUGGGCGUAAAGCGUGCGCAGGCGGUUGUGCAAGACCGAUGUGAAAUCCCCCGGGCUUAACCUGGGAACUGCAUUUGUGACUGCAUCGCUGGAGUGCGGCAGAGGGGGAUGGAAUUCCGCGUGUAGCAGUGAAAUGCGUAGAUAUGCGGAGGAACACCGAUGGCGAAGGCAAUCCCCUGGGCCUGCACUGACGCUCAUGCACGAAAGCGUGGGGAGCAAACAGG